CUCAGGAUGAACGCUAGCGGCAGGCUUAACACAUGCAAGUCGAGGGGUAUAAGUCUUCGGAUUUAGAGACCGGCGCACGGGUGCGUAACGCGUAUGCAAUCUACCUUUUACAGAGGGAUAGCCCAGAGAAAUUUGGAUUAAUACCUCAUAGUAUUAUAGAAUGGCAUCAUUUUAUAAUUAAAGUCACAACGGUAAAAGAUGAGCAUGCGUCCCAUUAGCUAGUUGGUAAGGUAACGGCUUACCAAGGCUACGAUGGGUAGGGGUCCUGAGAGGGAGAUCCCCCACACUGGUACUGAGACACGGACCAGACUCCUACGGGAGGCAGCAGUGAGGAAUAUUGGACAAUGGGCGCAAGCCUGAUCCAGCCAUGCCGCGUGCAGGAUGACGGUCCUAUGGAUUGUAAACUGCUUUUAUACGAGAAGAAACA
rnacentral:rRNA from 1 species